AACGCACCUUGCGCCUUUUGGUAUUCCGAAAGGCAUGCCUGUUUGAGUGUCAUGAAACUUUUCAACCCCCGGGUUUAUAACCCGGGAGGCUUGGACUUGGGUGUUGCCGUCCGGCUCGCCUGAAAUGUGUUAGUGGGAUAAGCCUUUUGCUUUGACGUGAUAAGUUUCGUCUCUGCUCUCUGCGGACCCCGCUCCCAACCACCAAUACUUCUUUGCUCUGACCUCAAAUCAGGUAGGACUACCCGCUGAACUUAA
rnacentral:misc_RNA from 1 species